rnacentral:lncRNA from 1 species
AAAAUUUUGAAAUCGUAAUCAGAACUGCAAAUACUCAGCCACUGCUUUCAGCUCCUUGUAAAUGCAUCACCUUGACUAUGCUAAGCUUUUUUUCCUCUUUCUACAAAAAGUCACCAUUGUCGAGAUACAUUAUUUUCUAAUUCAUAAGAAUCUUAGUUGGGCGGGGGGCAUCCUUUUAUUCUCUGAAGAACGUUCAUUCAAAGUUCUGUGAAGCAUUCUCAAGAUGUGAUUCCCAGAGGCCACCAUAAAUGACUCAGAUCUGCUUAGAAUCAAGACAGACAAAGACUGAAGGAUUGUGUAUCACAGUGUUUGCAGAAAUGUAACAGGUAUAGCAGCUCCGUUUAAAGGUCAAAUAGGUGGGGCUUUAUCAGUGAGCUCAUUGGUUUUUAUUUAGCCAUUUCCUAACUGCAGAAAACAAGGCAGGGCUCCUGUGCUAAGUAUUUAUGUAUCCGGGUAUUUAGGGGCUUUGCUCAUUUUCUCCUACAUUUCUAUAAAAAGAAUUUUGCAUGAUUUUAUGAUUGACAGCAUCUUAGAAUCUAGUUUAUGAUCCUCAUAGCACGAGGAAGGAAUCUUUAUCUGGGGAAAGUCUGUGGUACAGUAGCAAUCCAGUCUUCUCUGAUGACUGUGUUCUUAAAAGACUGUCGGCAACACUUUGAAGAUCCAAGAAGCUGUAACUGGUCUGGGUAGACUUCCGGAAAGUCAGCGGACACUAGUGAUGCCAUUGCUCUGGGGAUAUUACAAACUGCCUCCCGCCUGUGUCCUCCUGCGCUCUAAGAUGUUUGCUGUUAACGUGGUCACGGAUCCAAACCCACGCUGGGGAAAUGGUACUAGAACUCCUUACAUUCCACCUAAAAGGCAAUGAGGAGAAAGUUUCGUUGGAAGUCACGGUGGAGCUGUUCACUGACUGACACUAAAGAUAGCAUCCUCUGGGCCAGCACGAAGAACAGAGUGGCUGCCCUCAACACCUUCGCUGGGGAAUCGUCUGCCAAGCAGCACAGAUCCAUGUUCAGAAGGUUUAAGUAGUGUCUGGUUUACAACUGCAUUUUACUCAGACCCUGCCAAUGAAAGACAUCUAUGUCCUAGAUAGAAGCCUGUGCCUUCACACAGCUUUAAACAUGAGUUUGUAAUUUUGAUUAUGAUAUUAGAAAGCCUGAAAAACAAAAACAAAAACAAUGAUUGCAUAUGCUUCUAUACCCCAACUCAUUGGGCUGUAGUAAGUAACAUGGUCUUGAAAUAGUUACCAGGAACCCUUGGUAGAGAGUAGCCCACACAGACUGAAGCUGGAACUCACUGCAAGAACCAUCUCGGCAGUUCUGGUGUUUCUGUAGAGACGGGGUUUCUGUUCACCCUGUCCUCUCCCCCCAGGUGUGAGUUACUCACUCCCACGUUGGUGGGAUUUGGCAGAAGCAAACCCGAAUGCCGUGACCGGGACUGCGGCCGCCAUGCUGGGGAUUGUUUGGGUGGAGAGUUGCCCUAUUGUGUUCCAUUAAGAACAGUCACUCUCGGGGCUGGGGAUUUAGCUCAGUGGUAGAGCGCUUACCUAGGAAGCGCAAGGCCCUGGGUUCGGUCCCCAGCUCCGAAAAAAAGAACCAAAAAAAAAGAUUUAAGAACGGUCACUCUCUCUGGAUAUUUUGUCAUUCAAAACUCUUUCGGAGGUAUUUCUUGAAGGUGCGUCUAAUAAAAACACCAUGGGUAUUACAUGAUUUUAAAUGUCGCUCAAAUACACUUAACCUUUUUUGUCGUUUCCCUUCAAAUAUGUUUUCUAUAUUUUCUCCCCUAAUUUGGAAAUGGUGUGACUGAAAUUCUCCCCUUCUUCCUGUAUGCCGGACACCACUCAGCACUGCACUUGCUUGUCUGUAAUGGUGGAAGACAUACGGCUAGUUUUGGACUUGGGGUUGGCGCCUUGGUGAAGAUGAGGCAUCAGAACAUUUCUAAGUGUUUACAUACAAGGCUAGGUGGGGAUGUCACACGUAAGACUUGGAUGGUUUGAAAAUGCUGCUGUGAAUAAUUAUGACUUGCCCACGUGCACUACAAUAGACCUACUAUGUAUCUUUUGCCUUUUCUACUUGUACACAUUGACAUACGUGUUUUGUUUAACUGCGGUGUAUUUUUAAAUGAUCAUAAACAGCUGUAUUGAAAUUUUGUUUUCAAUUAAAUUUCUGUGUAAAAGCCUUCCU